AUAAUUUUACGUAAUAUGAUGUUUAAGUAAUACUAAUUUUAUAAAAAAUUUGUGUAGAAGUAUUAUGUCUACUUUUCAUGAAAUUUAUCUUGUUUUAUUAUUUUUCUCAAAGUAUAAUUGAUGUAUGAAAAAUUUCGUUAGUACCUUUAUCAUAGGCAAAAAUGCUAUGUCUGGCCAAAUCAUAAUACCUGAACACGAAAGAACAUUUAACAAAAUAAUAUUUUUAAGCAUUCUGGCAAUAAUAAAGCAUCACACCAAUAAAAUCGUAUUGUUUUUUUGUUAUUCAAUUACAUUUUAUUUUUUUGUAAAUGAUUUUUUAAAUUUAUUUACUUAGAUUGUUUCACAGUUUUUUUUAUUAAUAAGUUCAAACAAAAUAUAGCAUUUUAGGAAUCAAAAUAAAAACAGUAAAAAAAAAAAACAUGGCAAUCUUAUGCCAUUUUAUUGUAUGCUACUUAUGUGUAUUACUCCUUCUGUUGUACUUAUGACAAUGAUUUUCUUUUAUUCCAUUUUAUGGAAAUUAAAUUAAAAUUACUAAUUGUUUUUAUAACCACAGUAAUAUUUUUUAAUAUAUCAACUAUUGCAAUUUCACAAUUUUUUGUACCAAUAUUAACUAUAUAUUCCUUGUCUAAAUUCUAUAAUACCUUAGUGAUUAACUUAUUAUGAUAAAAUAUUUUUAUUGGAUUUUUUUGAUAAAUAUUGUACAACAUUAAAUCAAACCGAGUUACAGUAAAUAAAUUGCUGACAUCACUAACA